UACGUAGGGAGCAAGCGUUGUUCGGAAUUACUGGGCGUAAAGGGCGCGUAGGCGGCCUUCUAAGUCGAACGUGAAAUCCCCGGGCUCAACCCGGGAACUGCGUCCGAGACUGGAAGGCUUGAAUCCGGGAGAGGGAUGUGGAAUUCCAGGUGUAGCGGUGAAAUGCGUAGAUAUCAGGAGGAACACCCGUGCGAAGGCGGCCUUCUGGGUCCGCCCUGACGCUGAGGCGCGAAAGCGUGGGGAGCGAACGGG
rnacentral:rRNA from 1 species